AGAGAGAGACAUGCGCGCAUAUCAAUAAGCGGAGGAAAAGAAACUAACUAGGAUUCCCUCAGUAACGGCGAGUGAAGCGGGAAGAGCUCAAAUUUGAAAUCUUCAAGGUUCUACCUUGACGAAUUGUAGUUUAAAGAAGUGUUUUCUGUUGGAGUUUUGGUAAAAGUUCUUUGGAAUAGGACAUCAUAGAGGGUGAGAAUCCCGUAUUUGACCAUUAUUUCCAGCUUUGUGAUACACUUUCAAAGAGUCGGAUUGUUUGGGAAUGCAGUCCAAAAUGGGUGGUAAAUUUCAUCUAAAGCUAAAUAUUGGCGAGAGACCGAUAGCGAACAAGUACCGUGAGGGAAAGAUGAAAAGAACUUUGAAAAGAGAGUUAAACAGUACGUGAAAUUGUCAAAAGGGAAGCGUUUGACACCAGUGUUGUUUUCUCGAAAAUCAAUUAAAAAAGGCAGGAUUUUGUGUUGUAUUGACUUUAUCAGCUUUCUGCACUCUUUUCUUGUCUUUUUUUAAUGCACUUUUCGUUUAACAAGUCAACAUCAAUUUCUUUUGUUGUAAAAGGGUCAUUGGAAGGUGGCUUUCUUUUCGGAGAAAGUGUUUAUAGCCUUUGGCCUCUGCAAUCGGAGAGAUUGAGGUCUGCAGCGUAGAUCCUUCGGGGCUUAAAUAGCAUUUGUGCUAAGUUAUAGCCUUUCAUAGACAACUUGUUGACUAUGAUCAGUCAUGUAGCUUACUCGCUUAUGCUAUUUUACCUACGCUUAGGAUGUUGAUGUGAUACUGCGAGCA
rnacentral:rRNA from 1 species